rnacentral:lncRNA from 1 species
CUUCGGUUGAAAGACAGACUAGCAUCUAAUAAGAGAGAAGGGAAAUGAAACACGUAAUAAUAGCUAGAGCCAGCGGUCAUUGAGUAGCAUCCGAGUUGGCACAAUUUGUACGACUCAGAAAAAGCAAACAACGUGGACCCUACGCGUUAUGAAUCUCACUCACAACUCCCAAUUUGAGGCGGUGGAAUUCACGAUUCCGUUUGCUUGACUGUCAACGACUCGUUUCAAGAAAAUCGUCUGAACUUAACACAAAAAUCUCUCUUUCAUUUCCCAUUUCUUGUUUUUCUUCUCGCGCUCUUCUUCUUUUUUUGUGAUUGUGUUUUCCUGUAAUUGAGAGAUUAUUGAAGAAAAGGAAAUGCAGAAGGUGAAGGAUCAGCGGUCAAGAUCCUCAAAACCGACCACCAUCCAUGGCUUUGCCCAGUUUGGAGAUCUCGUUGCCUUUCAAAAGCUACUUCGUGACAACCCUUCUCUUCUUAAUGACAGAAAUCCUGUUGUAAGCUCUCAUUCUUUCUGUAUAUGUAUUUGUUUGGUUAAUGUGGACACGAGAAAGGGCCUUUUCAAUCGAUUUGAGAAUCUCGAUGAUUUGUCAAGAACAAGAUUUUCUUUUGAGUUUCCAUUUUUAAGUUUCUUUGGCUUUGGAUAGAUGUAGAUUAAAGAAUCUGGGGUUUCGGUUUUGCUUUAUUUAUGACAACUUCUGUCUGCAAUUUUGUCCGAAGAAGGAAAGCUUUAGUUUGCAACUGCAAUUAUCAAUUUCUUUUUGUUGGUGAAUGUUGAGAGAUUUAGAAUAUUUACCAAGAUUAAUAAGGUUU